GUUUAUGUAUAUGAAACAUAUAUAAGAAUCGAUAUUAUAUGUCUUGGGUCAAACUUAGUACAUAUAUCUCUUCUAUCUUGUCUCUUAGUCCCAUUUAUAUACUCAUUAUUUUACAUAUUAUGUCCCCCCAAAUUACAUAUAUAUAUAUACAUUUCUACCACACACCAUGGCCAAGCUAUAAGCUACUACUCCUUCUGUAAAAUUCUUUUUAUUUUUCGAGCUUCAUCACGCGGUCAAACCCCACAGCCAAUAUUAUUAUAACUAUUUCUCGUCUCAUCUUCCAGCUUAUUCCUCCACCCAAAAUUAAUCUGAACAGUCAUGAACUAGAAGGUGCUCAAGAUUAUAUAUAUAUAUAUAUAUAUAUUAUAUAUAUAUAUAUAUGGCUCGUGAGAACUGGCCCUCUGUCCCCAUGGAGACUACUAUAGUCAAUCUUCUUGUCAAGGCGCCUAUGUAGAUAUAUGCAUGUUCUGUUAUGACAUGAGCAAUUAACAAGGUUAUUAAUUGGGCUUUGGGUGCCUCUUUUGAUCUGUGUGAGAUCAGUGUGGCAAGUAGUACGUGGCUGAGUCGCGUGGAAUAAUUUCUGACCUUUUGAUCAGCUCCAACAACUACAGUAGUCGUUGUUCAAGAUGAUCAUCACCAUCACCGCCCAGCAAAUUGUUGAUCACCAGUU